rnacentral:rRNA from 1 species
UACGUAGGGUGCGAGCGUUGUCCGGAAUUACUGGGCGUAAAGAGCUCGUAGGUGGUUUGUCGCGUUGUUCGUGAAAACUCACAGCUUAACUGUGGGCGUGCGGGCGAUACGGGCAGACUGGAGUACUGCAGGGGAGACUGGGAUUCCUGGUGUAGCGGUGAAAUGCGCAGAUAUCAGGAGGAACACCGGUGGCGAAGGCGGGUCGCUGGGCAACAACUGGCGCUGAGGAGCGAAAGCGUGGGGAGCGAACAGG